rnacentral:tRNA from 1 species
GUGAACCGGAAAAAGCAUGAAAGCUCUCUGUUGACUGUAGUUUCGGACGCGGGUUCGACUCCCGCCGCCUCCACCA